GCCACCAGGAGAGAAUGGGGCAUCUUGUGAGUCUUCUUGCUAGCACACCUGUCACUUUAAGGUCAGCAGUAGACUUGAUGAGCUCUAAUUGGUAUUUAACCCAGAAUUCCCAUUGCUUCUCCACUCCGUUGGGCAGGAGCUGGGUCCAACACAUCUUUCAUUGGCAGAGAGACGAGUGCGUGCCUAACAAGAAACCAGGGACAGUCCAGGCAACAGAGCCAAAGACACAAGUGGGAGUCAGGCCUUUCCAUAGGACAAAGCCUUCUCGCUGGCGGAUGUUAUAAAAACACACCUGUCACUCGCGGCCAUGAUGACCAAUCAAAGCUCCACCUCUCACCUGGUAAGGUCUCCAGAAGGUGAGCAAGAAUUGAAGGAGAGCAGAUUGGAGAUCCCUUGAGAGUGAUGCCAACAGCAACAUUUGCUUGAAGUGAACAGACAAGGACAGAGGAUCAGGUUUCUUUUUCAGGACUCAGGUAAGAGGCGGAGCUCACAAGAGGGGUGACAGCCACAGCAGCCGGGUCUGGAUCAGCUGCCCCCCAGCCAGGUAAGACCAAAGGCUGCGGAUGGCACCUCCCCCCACAGGGCCAGGCAGCUCCCUCGGCGAGGGGCACAGGGCUGCCAUUGUUCCCCUCCACAGAGACCUGCCUGGAGCAAGGAAGCGGGGCCCCUCGCGGAGGCUCAGCGGGGAGUUCCCAUUCCGGGAGGCAGCCCUGGCGGCCAGACCUGAGGUAUGUAGUUACUGGCCAGUUUCCUGAGCCGCAGAGGGCAAGACCAGUUUUAUGAAGUCACCAUGGGCUAUUUUUAGACACCCAUACUCCCUGGGGAACCUGUAAUUUCCCAGCCUGGCCUGGGCCACGGGGAUCUCCACGGAGGAGCCCAGGCCUUGAAGGCAGAGAAGAGAAGAGUUUCCAGCAGCAGCUCGACACAUUCCUUUGCUAAGAGUAAGGUCUUGCUCCUGCAAACUUGUGCUCAGUCCGUGGCGUAUUGUGGAGCUGAGCCGGGGUCUCGUAGAAGAGACUAGAAUGGAGCCAUGCUUGCUCCGAUCGAUUUCGAGUUCCCCAGGGUGUGUGAUACUGCAGCACAUGUGGGGAGAGGUAGGCUCAGACGCAGAGCACCUGCUCACCUCGGGUGUCCUCCACUAAACCCCAUCAGCAAGGGGUUAGGACUCCUUUAUUAGUUGGGGCCCUGAAACUCCGAAGUGUUUUCUCAAGGUUACACAACUGGGAAGGCUAAAAUACGGAUUAUAGGGUUUCUGAGCCAGUUGAUCUCUGCAGUAGACCCGUGGUUCUCAGCCAGCGGUGAGUAUCAGAAUGACUACAGAGCCUUUUCCAGACCUCCCCCAGCCUCCUGCACCGGACUCAGAACCAGAGAAGGGGGACGGUGCCUCAGGCAUGCACGUAUUUCACAAACGCUACUCCGAAGGAUGCCAGCUGCCAGUACGGCUGUAAUGCACUUCGCAGAGCCUGCCUCUGCCUGCAACCCUGCAUGGAGCUUUCCAGCAGCAUUUGCUCACUUGCUGUCUCGGUCACAUUCUGGUAAUCCUAGCAAUAUUUUAAACUUUUUCAUUAUUAUAUUUUUAUUGUGAUGUUUGAUCAGUGAUUAAAACUCACUGAAAGCUCAGAUGAUGGCUAGUAUAUUUUAGCAAUAAAGUAUUUUUAAAAUAAGAUGUGUAUGGUUUUUUUUCCGGACACAGUGCUAUUGCACAAAUAGACUAUAGGCUAGGGUAGACACAACUUUUAUACACACUGGGAAACCAGCACAUUCAUUCGACU